GACGUAGGGCGCGAGCGUUGUCCGGAUUUAUUGGGCGUAAAGAGCGUGUAGGCGGCCAUACAGGUCCGUUGUGAAAACUGGAGGCUUAACCUCCAGACGUCGAUGGAAACCGUGUGGCUAGAGUCCGGAAGAGGAGAGUGGAAUUCCUGGUGUAGCGGUGAAAUGCGCAGAUAUCAGGAAGAACACCCGUGGCGAAGGCGGCUCUCUGGGACGGUACUGACGCUGAGACGCGAAAGCGUGGGGAGCGAACAGG
rnacentral:rRNA from 1 species